UACGUAGGGGGCAAGCGUUAUCCGGAUUUACUGGGCGUAAAGCGCGUGUAGGCGGUUGCGCAAGUUAGUUGUGAAAUCUCCCGGCUCAACCGGGAAACUGCAGCUAAUACUGCGUGGCUAGAGUGGCAGAGAGGAAAGUGGAAUUCCCGGUGUAGUAGUGAAAUGCGUAGAAUAUCGGGAGGAACACCAGCGGCGAAGGCGACUUUCUGGCUGCUAACUGACGCUGAGACGCGAAAGCUAGGGGAGCGAACGGG
rnacentral:rRNA from 1 species